rnacentral:rRNA from 1 species
CGGCCACAUUGGGACUGAGAUACGGCCCAGACUCCUACGGGAGGCAGCAGUGGGGAAUAUUGCACAAUGGGCGCAAGCCUGAUGCAGCGACGCCGCGUGCGGGAUGACGGCCUUCGGGUUGUAAACCGCUUUUGACUGGGAGCAAGCCCUUCGGGGUGAGUGUACCUUUCGAAUAAGCACCGGCUAACUACGUGCCAGCAGCCGCGGUAAUACGUAGGGUGCAAGCGUUAUCCGGAAUUAUUGGGCGUAAAGGGCUCGUAGGCGGUUCGUCGCGUCCGGUGUGAAAGUCCAUCGCUUAACGGUGGAUCCGCGCCGGGUACGGGCGGGCUUGAGUGCGGUAGGGGAGACUGGAAUUCCCGGUGUAACGGUGGAAUGUGUAGAUAUCGGGAAGAACACCAAUGGCGAAGGCAGGUCUCUGGGCCGUCACUGACGCUGAGGAGCGAAAGCGUGGGGAGCGAACAGGAUUAGAUACCCUGGUAGUCCACGCCGUAAACGGUGGAUGCUGGAUGUGGGGCCCGUUCCACGGGUUCCGUGUCGGAGCUAACGCGUUAAGCAUCCCGCCUGGGGAGUACGGCCGCAAGGCUAAAACUCAAAGAAAUUGACGGGGGCCCGCACAAGCGGCGGAGCAUGCGGAUUAAUUCGAUGCAACGCGAAGAACCUUACCUGGGCUUGACAUGUUCCCGACAGCCCCAGAGAUGGGGCCUCCCUUCGGGGCGGGUUCACAGGUGGUGCAUGGUCGUCGUCAGCUCGUGUCGUGAGAUGUUGGGUUAAGUCCCGCAACGAGCGCAACCCUCGCCCUGUGUUGCCAGCACGUCGUGGUGGGAACUCACGGGGGACCGCCGGGGUCAACUCGGAGGAAGGUGGGGAUGACGUCAGAUCAUCAUGCCCCUUACGUCCAGGGCUUCACGCAUGCUACAAUGGCCGGUACAACGGGAUGCGACGCGGCGACGCGGAGCGGAUCCCUGAAAACCGGUCUCAGUUCGGAUUGGAGUCUGCAACCCGACUCCAUGAAGGCGGAGUCGCUAGUAAUCGCGGAUCAGCAACGCCGCGGUGAAUGCGUUCCCGGGCCUUGUACACACCGCCCGUCAAGUCAUGAAAGUGGGCAGCACCCGAAGCCGGUGGCCUAACCCCUUGUGGGAUGGAGCCGUCUAAGGUGAGGCUCGUGAUUGGGACUAAGUCGUAACAAGGUAGCCGUACCGGAAGGUGCGGCUG